rnacentral:rRNA from 2 species
GGACUACUGGGGUAUCUAAUCCUGUUUGCUCCCCUAGCUUUCGUGCCUCAGUGUCAGGAGUUGUCCAGGGACUCGCCUUCGCCACUGGUGUUCCACUUGAUAUCUACGCAUUUCACUGCUACACCAAGUAUUCCAGUCCCCCCUCCAACCCUCGAGCAAGGUAGUUUCCAAUGCCAUUUCGGAGUUGAGCUCCGAGCUUUCACAUCCGACUUACCUCACCACCUACGCACCCUUUACGCCCAGUGAAUCCGAACAACGCUUGGGACCUCUGUAUUACCGCGGCUGCUGGCAC